AACCCAUAAUGAGGGCACCGUCUCAAUAAGUCUUUAUACCUCUCCCAUGCAUCAUAUAGGGUCUCUAAGUCGAUCUGUACGAAAGAAGAGAUAUCAUUCCUCAACUU
rnacentral:snoRNA from 1 species